rnacentral:rRNA from 1 species
GACGAACGCUGGCGGCGUGCUUAACACAUGCAAGUCGUACGGUAAGGCCCUUUCGGGGGUACACGAGGGGCGAACGGGUGAGUAACACGUGAGUAACCUGCCCACAACUUUGGGAUAACGCUAGGAAACUGGUGCUAAUACUGGAUAUGUGCUCCUGCUGCAUGGUGGGGGUUGGAAAGCUCCGGCGGUUGUGGAUGGACUCGCGGCCUAUCAGCUUGUUGGUGGGGUAGUGGCCUACCAAGGCGGCGACGGGUAGCCGGCCUGAGAGGGUGACCGGCCACAUUGGGACUGAGAUACGGCCCAGACUCCUACGGGAGGCAGCAGUGGGGAAUAUUGCACAAUGGGCGCAAGCCUGAUGCAGCAACGCCGCGUGCGGGAGGACGGCCUUCGGGUUGUAAACCGCUUUCAGCAGGGACGAAGCUUUUUGUGACGGUACCUGCAGAAGAAGCACCGGCUAACUACGUG